rnacentral:misc_RNA from 1 species
GGAUUGAAUUCUUGUAAAAUUCAAUUGAAUUGAAUUGCUAGGCAAAGGAAUAAAAGUAAAUUUUCAACGGACUUGAUGUCCCAAUAAGAGGAGUGGAAAUCCCUCUAUUCAAAUAAAAUUAUAGUUCUGAUGUCUGUGAACAAAACAAACAAGCUGGUGCUAGUAGAUUAUCCCUCAGCAAAACCUAUGUUACAAUCUGAUAUAAACAAGAAACACACUGCAAGUUUUUACAAUCUCCUCCCUACAAUUACUAUUUGACUCCCUAAACUAUGACAAUAUAUCAUGGAUGACAGUUUACAAGAAACAGCUUUCUUAGAGUAAUUGACAAAGAUACAAUAAUGAUAAACAGUGAAAAAAAUUUAGACAGAGAGAAGAAAGUGUAUUAUGACAGUUAAAAGAGUUCAAAUAAACUCUACAAUAACAAUGCAGGACAGCUGCAGAAAAUUGACUAUUAUGUGAACUUUCAGGGAAAUUUUCAGGAGUGUUAAAGAGUUCAAGUCCUGGUGGGCCUUAUAACCAGUAUAACUUCAGAAACAAAUCAAGAACAGAAAAUAAGAUUCAGGGGAUAUUUU